CGUGUAGGCGGUUUUUUAAGUCUGAUGUGAAAGCCCCGGGCUCAACCUGGGAAGUGCAUUGGAAACUGGGAGACUUGAAUACGGGAGAGGGUAGUGGAAUUCCUGGUGUAGGAGUGAAAUCCGUAGAUAUCAGGAGGAACACCGGUGGCGAAGGCGGCUGCCUGGACCGAUAUUGACGCUGAGACGCGAAAGCGUGGGUAGCAAACAGGAUUAGAUACCCUGGUAGUCCACGCCGUAAACGAUGAGUACUAGGUGUCGCGGGUAUUGACCCCUGCGGUGCCGCAGCUAACGCAUUAAGUACUCCGCCUGGGAAGUACGGCCGCAAGGCUAAAA
rnacentral:rRNA from 1 species